AUCAUACUCCCUCCGUCCGAAAAUACUUGUCAUCAAAAUGAACAAAAGGGGAUGUAUCUAGAUGUAUCUUAGUUUUAGAAACAUCUCUUUUUAUCCAUUUUGAUGACAAGUAUUUUCGGACGGAGGGUGUAUAUG
rfam:Triticum aestivum genome assembly, contig: Triticum_aestivum_CS42_TGACv1_scaffold_030643_1BL